GAGUUUGAUCCUGGCUCAGAACGAACGCUGGCGGCAUGCCUAACACAUGCAAGUCGAACGGGAUCCGGACUUCGGUUCGGUGAGAGUGGCGGACGGGUGAGUAACGCGUGGGAACCUGCCCAGUGGUGGGGGAUAACUGCGGGAAACUGCAGCUAAUACCGCAUGAGCCCGAGAGGGGAAAGAUUUAUCGCCAUUGGAGGGGCCCGCGUUCGAUUAGGUAGUUGGUGAGGUAAUGGCUCACCAAGCCGACGAUCGAUAGCUGGUCUGAGAGGAUGAUCAGCCACACUGGGACUGAGAUACGGCCCAGACUCCUACGGGAGGCAGCAGUGGGGAAUAUUGGACAAUGGGGGCAACCCUGAUCCAGCAAUGCCGCGUGAGUGAUGAGGGCCUU
rnacentral:rRNA from 1 species